GACGAACGCUGGCGGCGUGCUUAACACAUGCAAGUCGAACGGUGAAGCGCCUUCCUUUUUGGUGGGUGUGGAUGAGUGGCGAACGGGUGAGUAACACGUGAGUAACCUGCCCCCUUCUUCUGGAUAACCGCAUGAAAGUGUGGCUAAUACGGGAUAUUCUGGGUCUGUCGCAUGAUGGGUCUGGGAAAGAUAUUGUUUCGGUGGGGGAUGGGCUCGCGGCCUAUCAGCUUGUUGGUGGGGUGAUGGCCUACCAAGGCGGGGACGGGUAGCCGGCCUGAGAGGGUGGACGGUCACACUGGGACUGAGACACGGCCCAGACUCCUACGGGAGGCAGCAGUGGGGAAUAUUGCACAAUGGGCGCAAGCCUGAUGCAGCGACGCCGCGUGAGGGAUGGAGGCCUUCGGGUUGUGAACCUCUUUCGCCAGUGAAGCAGGCCUGCCUCGUUUGUGGGUGGGUUGACGGUAGCUGGAUAAGAAGCGCCGGCUAACUACGCG
rnacentral:rRNA from 1 species